GAAGUGCUCUAGCAGGGGAGUCUGACCUUGUGAGGGAAUACCUGUGUCCCCCCUUUUUUCCCCUUUUUACCCAAUAAAACCCUGCCUUACUCACCCUUUAAAUCAUCUGCGAGCCUGAAUUUUCAUGGCCGUGGGACGGACAAGAACUUUAUCUUCAGCUGAACUAAGAAAAAGUCCUGCAACAUUUUUGGCGCGCAAUGUGGGGGCACCAGAAGCGGACAGACCCCAUGAAAAAGAGGUCCAGCC
rnacentral:lncRNA from 10 species